AUACGUAGGUGGCAAGCGUUGUCCGGAUUUAUUGGGCGUAAAGCGAGCACAGGCGGUUUCUUAAGUCUGAUGUGAAAGCCCCCGGCUCAACCGGGGAGGGUCAUUGGAAACUGGGAAACUUGAGUGCAGAAGAGGAGAGUGGAAUUCCAUGUGUAGCGGUGAAAUGCGUAGAUAUAUGGAGGAACACCAGUGGCGAAGGCGGCUCUCUGGUCUGUAACCGACGCUGAGGCUCGAAAGCGUGGGGAGCAAACAGGAUUAGAUACCCUGGUAGUCCACGCCGUAAACGAUGAGUGCUAAGUGUUGGAGGGUUUCCGCCCUUCAGUGCUGCAGCUAACGCAUUAAGCACUCCGCCUGGGGAGUACGUACGCAUGUAUGAA
rnacentral:rRNA from 1 species